rnacentral:rRNA from 1 species
UGCAAGUCGAGCGGAGUUGAUCGACGGAAGCCUUCGGGCGGAAGAUGAUUAACUUAGCGGCGGGUGGGUGAGUAACGCGUGGGCAACCUGCCUCGAAGACCGGGAUAACAGUUCGAAAGGGCUGCUAAUACCGGAUGUGGUCAAGUGUCAGCAUGGGCAUUUGAUUAAAGGGGAAACCCGUUUCGAGAUGGGCCCGCGUCCUAUCAGCUAGUUGGUGAGGUAAAGGCUCACCAAGGCAAUGACGGGUAGCCGGCCUGAGAGGGUGACCGGCCACACUGGAACUGAGACACGGUCCAGACUCCUACGGGGGGCAGCAGUGGGGAAUCUCCCACAAUGGGCGAAAGCCUGAUGGAGCGACGCCGCGUGAGCGAAGAAGGCCUUCGGGUUGUAAAGCUCUGUCUGGAGGGACGAAGAAAGUGACGGUACCUCCGGAGGAAGCCACGGCUAACUACGCGCCAGCAGCCGCGGUAAUACGUAGGUGGCGAGCGUUGUCCGGAAUCACUGGGCGUAAAGGGCGCGCAGGCGGCGUGUCAAGUCGGACGUGAAAACCCCUGGCUCAACUGGGGG